UGAGGAAUAUUGGUCAAUGGGCGAGAGCCUGAACCAGCCAAGUAGCGUGCAGGAUGACGGCCCUAUGGGUUGUAAACUGCUUUUAUGUGGGGAUAAAGUGCGUGACGUGUCAUGCAUUGCAGGUACCACAUGAAUAAGGACCGGCUAAUUCCGUGCCAGCAGCCGCGGUAAUACGGAAGGUCCGGGCGUUAUCCGGAAUCAUUGGGCGUAAAGGGUACGUAGGCGGAUAAGCAAGUUAGAAGUGAAAUCCUAUAGCUCAACUAUAGUAAGCUUUUAAAACUGCUCAUCUUGAGGUAUGGAAGGGAAAGUGGAAUUCCUAGUGUAGCGGUGAAAUGCGCAGAUAUUAGGAGGAAUACCGGUGGCGAAGGCGACUUUCUGGCCAUAUACUGACGCUGAGGUACGAAAGCGUGGGUAGCAAACAGG
rnacentral:rRNA from 1 species